CAAUUAUACUCCAGAGGGAGGAUGAAAAAUAAGUAUCUAUCUGCCCUCCAUAGGGACCUCUACUGGUUUUUGCUUACAAUAAAUAGCUUCAUGGAAUAGUCAAUGCAAUCUCAUUUUAUAAAGAAGGAAUGUAGUGCCCUAAAGGUAAAAUAACUAACCUGAGGUCAACCAGGUAGCAAGUGUCAGACUCAGGAGUUAAACUCAAGUCUUCUGGGGCUAUUCCCCCAUACAGUGAACUAACAAUUCAUCAUCAUUAUCAUCAUAAUACUUCAUAUUUCUAUAAUAUCUAUGUGCAAUUUCUCCUUGGGCAGAGCCAAGAUGGUGGAGUAGAACAGAGAAGCUCUGGGUCACCAUGAGAAUCUUUUCUAACCAAUAUUAAAAUACUCCAACAAAAGGAAUAAAGGAGUGAAAGAGCCAAUAAGGAGACAGAGUGUAACAAUUUUCAAGGAAAAAAACCCAAAGAUAGAAGAGGGGAGCAGAGUCAGCAAGAAGCUGUAGCAACCAGGGAAGAACAAGCCAAGAGCAAGUCACACCCCCACCCUACAACUGCUGUCUCAGCUAAAGGAAAUCUAAAAAAAAAAAAAAGAGUUCACAAAAGUGCAGCCUGGGGAGUGUUUGAGGUAGAAAAAAAGAAGGCAGUUGCAUUCCUUGUCUUGAUAAAGAAGGUAAGAGCUUCAGAGUGUUAUUCUUUUGUUUUCAAUAAAUAAUGUUUUCUUCCAGACUAGCUUUGGAACUGUCAACAUGGAAUCUAGAAACCCCAAACUUGUAGUCUAGUGGGAUCUGGUGAACCCCAGGUUUCAGGAUUAGCUUAUAGGUUGGAGACCCCAAAAUUUGUACUUAUUCCUGGUUCCCAAAGGAAUCCAACCUGAAGGGAAUCCCAGGCUAGCAGUUUCAGGCUGAGUGGGAGACCCUCAGGGGAAUGACAAUCCUGUUUGGGUGAGACUAAGCAUAUGCUAAAGACCCUCUUUGUCUUAGGUAGUCCCCCUAAUUGUAUCAGACCCUUUCCGGAGAAGAGCCACACCUGGGCAUAAACCAUCCUUUAGUAUCCAUAGUAAGCAGCCCCUUCUCUUUCACCCUAGCUUCUAGCUAUGAUUCCUUUCCCAAGUUUGAUUGUAUCCUGUCAGUGUAGUUUGAACACUCCCAUUUCCUUGUAGUUAUGGUAAUGUCAAUAGCCUUUCCCUGCCCCAGGAUCUCCCCAAAUGGUAUAUAGGUUCCCCAAAUUCUUUUGUUCCACAGAGUCAUUUUCCAGCUUCCUGUCACUCCCAGGGAUAAUAUCCCCAGAGUCCAGGGUGUAGACCAUGGAAAAGUUUCAGUGCCAGACUCUGAAUAAAGGGCCAAAUGUUGGACUUAUCCUCUCCUGA
rnacentral:lncRNA from 1 species